rnacentral:rRNA from 1 species
AGAGUUUGAUCCUGGCUCAGGAUGAACGCUGGCGGUAUGCUUUACACAUGCAAGUCGUACGAGAGUUUUUAACUCAAGUGGCGGACGGGUGAGUAACACGUAAGAAUUUGCCUUUAGGAGGGGGAUAACAACUGGAAACGGUUGCUAAUACCCCAUACGCUUUCGAGUGAAACGGUUUUUCCGCCUAAAGAGAAGCUUGCGGCUGAUUAGCUUGUUGGUGAGGUAAUGGCUCACCAAGGCGACGAUCAGUAUCUGGUUUGAGAGGACGAUCAGACACACUGGAACUGAGACACGGUCCAGACUCCUACGGGAGGCAGCAGUGGGGAAUUUUCCGCAAUGGGCGAAAGCCUGACGGAGCAAUACCGCGUGAGGGAUGACGGCCUAUGGGUUGUAAACCUCUUUUUUCAGGGAGGAAUCAAUGACGGUACCUGAGGAAUAAGCAUCGGCUAACUCCGUGCAAGCAGCCGGCGUAAGAC